UACGUAGGGGGCUAGCGUUGUCCGGAAUUAUUGGGCGUAAAGCGCGUGUAGGCGGUCCGGUAAGUCCGCUGUGAAAGUCGGGGGCUCAACCCUCGAAUGCCGGUGGAUACUGUCGGGCUAGAGUGCGGAAGAGGCGAGUGGAAUUCCUGGUGUAGCGGUGAAAUGCGCAGAUAUCAGGAGGAACACCAAUUGCGAAGGCAGCUCGCUGGGACGUAACUGACGCUGAGACGCGAAAGCGUGGGGAGCAAACAGG
rnacentral:rRNA from 1 species